rnacentral:rRNA from 1 species
GACGAACGCUGGCGGCGUGCUUAACACAUGCAAGUCGAACGGAAAGGCCCUGCUUUUGUGGGGUGCUCGAGUGGCGAACGGGUGGGUAACACGUGAGUAACCUGCCCUUGACUUUGGGAUAACUUCAGGAAACUGGGGCUAAUACCGGAUAGGAGCUCCUGCUGCAUGGUGGGGGUUGGAAAGUUUCGGCGGUUGGGGAUGGACUCGCGGCUUAUCAGCUUGUUGGUGGGGUAGUGGCUUACCAAGGCUUUGACGGGUAGCCGGCCUGAGAGGGUGACCGGCCACAUUGGGACUGAGAUACGGACCAGACUCCUACGGGAGGCAGCAGUGGGGAAUAUUGCACAAUGGGCGGAAGCCUGAUGCAGCAACGCCGCGUGCGGGAUGACGGCCUUCGGGUUGUAAACCGCCUUCGCCUGUGACGAAGCGUGAGUGACGGUAAUGGGUGAAGAAGCACCGGCUAACUACGUG